UGGCCAGUGCCGGGUCUACCAUGCAGUCGAACGGUAAGGCCCCUUCGGGGGUACACGAGUGGCGAACGGGUGAGUAACACGUGAGCAACCUGCCCUUGACACCGGAAUAACAGUUGGAAACAGCUGCUAAUGCCGGAUACAACCUCCGAUGGCAUCAUCUGGAGGUGGAAAGCGAUUCAGCGGUCAAGGAUGGGCUCGCGGCCUAUCAGCUUGUUGGUGAGGUAACGGCUCACCAAGGCUUCGACGGGUAGCCGGCCUGAGAGGGCGACCGGCCACACUGGGACUGAGAUACGGCCCAGACUCCUACGGGAGGCAGCAGUGGGGAAUAUUGCACAAUGGGCGCAAGCCUGAUGCAGCAACGCCGCGUGCGGGAUGACGGCCUUCGGGUUGUAAACCGCUUUCAGUUCCGACGAAGCGCAAGUGACGGUAGGAACAGAAGAAGGACCGGCCAACUACGUGCCAGCAGCCGCGGUGAUACGUAGGGUCCGAGCGUUGUCCGGAAUUAUUGGGCGUAAAGGGCUUGUAGGCGGUUUGUCACGUCGGAAGUGAAAACUCAGGGCUCAACCCUGAGCCUGCUUCCGAUACGGGCAAACUAGAGGGAUGCAGGGGAGAAUGGAAUUCCUGGUGGAGCGGUGGAAUGCGCAGAUAUCAGGAGGAACACCGGUGGCGAAGGCGGUUCUCUGGGCAUUUCCUGACGCUGAGAAGCGAAAGCGUGGGGAGCAAACAGGCUUAGAUACCCUGGUAGUCCACGCCGUAAACGGUGGGCACUAGGUGUGGGGAACAUUCCACGUUCUCCGUGCCGAAGCUAACGCAUUAAGUGCCCCGCCUGGGGAGUACGGCCGCAAGGCUAAAACUCAAAGGAAUUGACGGGGGCCCGCACAAGCGGCGGAGCAUGCGGAUUAAUUCGAUGCAACGCGAAGAACCUUACCUGGGUUUGACAUAUGCCGGAAAGCUACAGAGAUGUAGCCCCCGCAAGGUCGGUAUACAGUGGUGCAUGGCUGUCGUCAGCUCG
rnacentral:rRNA from 1 species